rnacentral:rRNA from 1 species
GCGAACCGGGGGAACUGAAACAUCUAAGUACCCCGAGGAAAAGAAAUCAACCGAGAUUCCGAAAGUAGCGGCGAGCGAAAUUGGACUAGCCCUUAAGCUUUACACGCGUUAGACGAACAGCCUGGAAAGGCCGACGAUACAGGGUGAUAGUCCCGUAGUUGACGACGUGUGUUCAGUGAAAUCGAGUAGGGCGGGACACGUGAUAUCCUGUCUGAAUAUGGGGGGACCAUCCUCCAAGGCUAAAUACUACUGACUGACCGAUAGUGAACCAGUACCGUGAGGGAAAGGCGAAAAGAACCCCUGUGAGGGGAGUGAAAUAGAACCUGAAACCGUGUACGUACAAGCAGUAGGAGCA